CCCCACACCCUAGCCUUCCAACGGGGACGGAUGGCACUCACUCCCACACCCCAACCCCAGCCUGGGGAAGGGAAAAGAAGGAAGGUCUUCUUCCCCCACCCCAAGCUGUCUCCGGCCUGCGGUCAGGGGGAGGGGCUCUAGCUGUGGAAAGUUGGCAGAGGCGGCCGGCAGCAGCCGGGAGAGUGGAAAAAAUGAUAUCAAACCCGGAAAAAUGCAGGCCGGAUGGAGGGCCGGAGUGGGCCCUGGGAGAAGAGACAAAGUUUUGCUGUGUCACCCAUGAUGGUCUGAAACUCCUGAGCUCAAGAGAUGCUCCCACCUCAACAUCCCAAGGUGCUGAGAUUUCAGGCAUGAGCCACUGGGUCCCACCCUGCUAUCAUAUCUUGAGGCCUUGCAGAAACCAGGAUUCAUUAAGGAAAUGAAAGCUCCUUGAGGGAAGCGCCCUCAGUGCUGCUCUGACCCCAGCACCUACAACAGUGCCUGGCUCAUCAUAGGUGUCUGUGAAUAAGGAAUGGCUGGGAAAGCAUGUGAGAAAACCACACUCUUCCUUAGCCUAUUAUAGUUUAAAAAGUACUUUCUCAUCCAUAAAAACAAAACC